rnacentral:misc_RNA from 1 species
GAUGAAGAACGUAGCGAAAUGCGAUACUUGGUGUGAAUUGCAGAAUCCCGUGAACCAUCGAGUCUUUGAACGCAAGUUGCGCCCGAAGCCGUCAGGCCGAGGGCACGCCUGCCUGGGCGUCACACGCCGUUGCCCCCCCGCGCCCCGCACCCAACUCUUUGGGAGCGACCGCGGGGCGGGCUGAUGAUGGCCUCCCGUGCGCUCCGCCGCGCGGUUGGCCCAAAUACCGAGUCCCCGGCGACGUGCGCCACGACGAUCGGUGGUUGAGAGACCUCUGUCGCAAGUCGUGCGCGCCCGUCGCGUCACGCGGGCUCGCAUAGCGCCUCGCGCCGCACCCGGUGCGGAGCUUUCAACGCGACCCCAGGUCAGGCGGGGUUACCCGCUGAAUUUAAGCAUAUCAAUGAGCGGAGGA